UGUUUCCACAGAAUAUACUACUAAAAUUGGGAUGACAACAGAAGACUAGCAUGGCCCUGUGUAAGGUUGUUACACACAUUCAAGAGAUACUCCAUAUUUUU
ensembl:snRNA U6 U6 spliceosomal RNA